rnacentral:rRNA from 1 species
UUUCCGUAGGUGAACCUGCGGGAGGAUCAUUGUCGACCU